rnacentral:rRNA from 1 species
UACGGAGGGGGCUAGCGUUGUUCGGAAUUACUGGGCGUAAAGCGCACGUAGGCGGCUUUGCAAGUCAGAGGUGAAAGCCCGGGGCUCAACCCCGGAAUUGCCUUUGAGACUGCAUCGCUAGAACGUCGGAGAGGUGAGUGGAAUUCCGAGUGUAGAGGUGAAAUUCGUAGAUAUUCGGAAGAACACCAGUGGCGAAGGCGACUCACUGGACCG